ACAAAAAAAAUGGCGGCUGAAAAGCUCACUCGUCCCGUGGAAGGUUUUUAUCUCGGAAUAAAAAGCCACAUUCGUCUCAAAGCCGAGAAGAUACGUCCCAAAAAACCGGAAAAAGUUGAUCAGGAGAAAAUGUAUCCAAUUGAGGAACUUUUUUGCCGUGAGCAUUUCAAGUAAGUACUAAAAAUUACCGUAAGUUAUAUUGUCAAAGUGAAUCAUAAUAGUCCUAAGAUAUGGAUAAUGAUUAUUUUCUUUGCAAAUUGUUGACGGAGACAAAGUAGAAAAUAAAGUGAAAAUUCACUUGAUUGGAUAUUCAAGUGAUUUUGAUGAAUGGAGAGAUGGAGAUGACUUAGUUGACAAAGACAAAAGUAGUCUUGGUCGCUUCGUACCGCGAUUCAUACCGAGUGAGGAUUCCUUGUCUGACAGGGCUUCAGCUUUAUUUAACCGCCUCGGCCGCGAAAUAAAGUUUAGUCUAUUUUCAACCAAAAGGGAGUCACCGGAGGUUCGAAUUGAGAUGCAGAUUGACAUGGAUAUCUAUAAAACAUAUUUACAAAAUA